CGUCCUUUUAUCACCAGUAGCUGAGGAGUCUCGGAAAGAAAUACAAUCAGAAGGAUCUCCAAUCUUGGGGUCUGAGCCAAGAUGAUAUUUCUGUUCCCUGCAGUCAGAAUAAGAAGCAGUGCAGGGAUGAUUAUUAUACACACGAGAAAACCAAUCGGGAUGCUAAUCUAGAUGUGUAUUGCCUGCAUUUUAGUUCAAAAGGCAGUUCAGUAUCCUAAUACAGUUAGUUGUUUAAAGUGCAGGUCCCAAACAAUGUAAUCUGAGACAGUUCUAAAAUGACACCAAGGGAAGUUGCCACAGAAAAAAGUAUAUUAGCAGUUUUAUUGCAGACAGCGGGUAAAAGGGCCUCGCUGGGGAGUGAGCUCUAUUCUAACUACUCAUGGCGACUGCUUUUACAAAGGGAACUUGGAGAAUGUUGGCAGGCGUGCAGAAGCCUGGAUUCAGACAUGAGGCAAGGGCUCCUUGUUCUCCCUUGUUAGUUCAGAUAGGUUACACGUGUUGUCUGCCUGGACUAGGACUGACUUCCCUGAGAGAACUCCCCUGGGGGUAAACAGGGCUCUUUAUCUGGCUUUUAGUUUUAGAAGGAUGGGUUGGAGCUUUGACUCUGGCUAGGAUAAUUUCUCCUAAACUCUGUGGCAUGCUGUACGAAUGCCACAACCAGAGAGAUUUGUAUCUGUGGUCAACAUCACCCACUGAAGACUAGAUAGAGAAGCUCCAUUUAGUCUGUUUGAGUACCACAGUUAACAUAACAAGCAGAGCAAUGUCCAGUGGAUUCUAUUUUAUCAUGAACAUAUGCCAGGUUCAGAAGAGCACUGCCUUGAGACAGGACACCAGGACACCAGAAAGACAAGCAGCUUCAAACACACCGGAAAAUAGUGCUGAAGACUUUGGAUCUCCUCUACAGCUUUUUUUCCACUUUGGCUGCCCUUUCUUCAGACAGGAAAGUGCUGCCCAGCUCAUUCUGGAAGAUAAAUCCCAGGUGGAUUAGUUUCUGUGCCAGUACAAGAGAACUUUUGGCGGAAUUCACACUAGUCCUAGAGAUGGGAGUACUGUAAUACUAGGAUGCUAUCAGGGUAUUCAGAACAUUCUUUCCCCAGAUUAGCUAGUUGUUAAAACUGCAAAAAACUGCUAGCUCUUGCUUCGAAAGAUGGGCCACAGUAAAAGACAUCAGCUUCAAAACCUAUAGUGCAGAUGACAGAUCAGAGGGAACAGCAGGGUAUUACAAAUGAAG